GCCUGUCACAUAAUCAGCACCGCAUGAGACUAGUGGAGGAAGGACAUGAGGCAGGAUUCUUUUCUCAAGGCAGCGGAAGUCCUCUUUUUGACUCUCUGAUGGAGGGCUAUUAAAAAAGGCACUGUUCUAAAUAUAGAUUUUAAAGUAAAUGCAAUACUGUAUAUGAUUUGUGCUGUUUUUGUAAAAGAAUUGUGGACUAAAAAUAAUGUUUGACUUGACAUUGA